AGAAAAGAAAGAUUAUUACUGUUAAAAAUGAUAAUUACAUAUAUUGUGUAUUAUUUACGAUCAACGAUUCUCGACCAUUCAGUUGGUUUAACUUAUUAUCGAACCAAAAAAUGGGAAGCUGUAAGAAACUUGCUCCGCGAAUACACCAAAACAAUGGGAAAUGCACAAGGAGCUUUUUGCAUCACUUUUCGAACUGAAUCAAUGGCUCGUAGUGUAUACUAACAAAUUAACACAACCUCGUGCAUUCUUCAAUACUUUCCAAAUAAUUCAUUUUGUAAUUCUCAGGAACACAAUGAGGCUGAAUCAUGGCAAGCAUCAUUUGCUCCUGAUCCAACGGACAUAAACUGGGAUGCCUUGGUCAUCAAUAAAAAAGGAAUGUGGUUCCGAACAUUUGAAGUUAACUUUUUACUUUUCAUCAUCUUCUUCUUUUGCACCACACCAUCAUUCAUUUUACCAUACAUUUCCAAUUUUCCUGCCAAUUCUGCCUUCUUUGAGCUCCAGAAAAAGUAUGAACAUGAAUUGAAACCCAUUUCAUUUCUAGCUCAAUUCUUGAAACCUUUGGUUCUUCUACUCGUGGCCUCUAUAUUGCCUGACGUUGUCUAUUAUUUUUCAUCUCUUGUUCCUGAUCCACUGAAAUCUGAACAGAAACAUGGAGUCAUGUGGAGAGUUUGACGAAUGUUUUAUGAUUCUUAUGAUUAUAAUAAUCCCUUCACUUGAACAAUCUAGGUAAAACUGUCAUUUAAAAAUUAAGUAAGAAUAAGGUUUUACGGACUAAGGAGGGGAAACAUGGGACAUUUAAAUAAAGAUCCAAUCAGGUUAAUCUUUUAAAUUCAAGUCUAAUGGUUAUAAUGGUAAUUGAACUAAUUGUUAGUUACUAAUCUUGUCUCAAAUCCA